rnacentral:rRNA from 1 species
AUUGAACGCUGGCGGCAUGCCUUACACAUGCAAGUCGAACGGUAACGGGCCUUCGGGUGCCGACGAGUGGCGAACGGGUGAGUAAUACAUCGGAACGUGCCCGAUCGUGGGGGAUAACGAGGCGAAAGCUUUGCUAAUACCGCAUACGAUCUACGGAUGAAAGCAGGGGGCCGCAAGGCCUUGCGCGGGCGGAGCGGCCGAUGGCAGAUUAGGUAGUUGGUGGGAUAAAAGCUUACCAAGCCGACGAUCUGUAGCUGGUCUGAGAGGAUGAUCAGCCACACUGGGACUGAGACACGGCCCAGACUCCUACGGGAGGCAGCAGUGGGGAAUUUUGGACAAUGGGCGCAAGCCUGAUCCAGCCAUGCCGCGUGCAGGAUGAAGGCCUUCGGGUUGUAAACUGCUUUUGUACGGAACGAAAAGCCUUCUUUUAAUACAGGAGGGUCAUGACGGUACCGUAAGAAUAAGCACCGGCUAACUACGUG